UCCCUGGUAGUAUAUCGGUUAGUACACGCGCCUGUCAUCUUAUGCCGUGCGCGCGAAAGCGGGGUUCGACUCCCCGCCAGGGAG
rnacentral:tRNA from 1 species